AAGAAGGACUGAAAAAGCCGGGGCUUCCCAUUUGAUUCCAGUACGUUCCAUUUGCUUCCCGUACGUUCUUCUUUCCCAACCGUUCCCAAGUCCCAACACGUAGCCUUUACGCACCCCUCCUGCUGCUGCUUUCUUCCUUUUGCUUCUUAGGGAUUCUCUGUUUUGAUUUUUAUCAUCCAAUUUGUUUAAUUUAUUGUUAAUUUCAGGGUACUACCAGUUUUGUGCUGACUCUGAUUACUUCAGAAAGGUCCCUAAUGUGAAAUGGAAAGAUGUUGGCGGUGUUAAUGAUUUGAAGAAAUUGAUUCUGGAUACUGUUCUGAACUUCAAGUAUAUGCUCUUUGGAGAGAGAGGGUGGGUGCAAUCAUUUUCUCUUUCUAUAUCCUUCCUUUCCCAAUUUGCGUCUCUGGUUGUUGGCGUUCGUCUUCCUCCUCAAGAGUUGUAUUGGACAGAACAGCUAUCCUCGGGGAAGCUGUAGCACCUGAGAAUUUUGAAGGUGAUCCGAUCAAAGGCCAUUUGCAGCUAAUGAUUCUCAAUUUCUCGAGUACACCAGUAAAGGUCCUCUAUCUUUAUUUCUCGUUGACAUUUUUUUUUUCCUUGAUAACAUAGUUCACAAGGCUUUUAACCUAUUAUUAUGAUUACUGUUAACAAUUAUUCUUAGAGAGAGAUGGAUACACCAACCAGUGCAUUUUCAAGGAGUACUAGAACAUCAUUUUUGGAAUUAGAUAACAAUACUUGCUAUAAUUUUGGUAAGGAAUCAGUUGACAGUGUGGGGUUCGUGGAUUUUGGAUUCGGCAUUCUCUGAAAUUAGCCAAGGAGUGGAAAUUUUGAUUGGUUUGAUUGGUAAUUUAGUAUGUUAUUUAAAAUUAUGAGAGAAACAGAGAUCAUCGUAUUAUAUAUCAGCAUUCAACAUUUAUGAAUGUGAACUAUCUUUGUAUGUUUAUCAAUUUAUUUUUUCAUGGUUUUCAGUUUCCUAAAUGAAGUUUGACAUUUAUGAAAUUUGACAAUUUAUCUU